rfam:Phaseolus vulgaris cultivar G19833 chromosome 3, whole genome shotgun sequence.
ACAACGGUUUUAUUCAAAACCACGUUUUACACCAUCCAAGAACUU